GUAACUGCAUCAACAAAAACAGAAUCUCUAAAAACAGAGUAACAAAGCAUCAAUCAUCUCGAUCUCAAAUUUCCCAACUUUCGAUCGACCCAACAUUAAAAAAGCUACGCAAACGUCGAAUAUCGAAAAACCCACAAAGAAAAAUCAAAUAUUUCGUUAGAAACACCAAAGGAGAGAACACUCACAUGGCAGCGAAGCAAGCCAACCAUUUGACGAAAGAAACACCAAAGGCUGCUCCACCAAGCUUGGUCACAUCGCUUAAGAGUUUCUUGGCAGCGAUCUUAAGCUCCUCCACGUCGGAAUUGACCAGAGCAACCGUGUCGACGUCGGUCUUCAUCGCUAGGUAAUCCACACGCCCCAUUACUUUCUUCUUUCCUCAGCUGAAUAAUCGAUCUUCGUAUUUAUGCGAAAGACAAUAAUUUCGAGGUUUUUAAAUUUUAUUCUUCGAUAAAUUAUUCCUCCAGCCUAUCUAUCACUAUCAGAUCGUCUUCUCUGCUUUUCAACUUGCUUUUUCUU